GAUGAACGCUAGCUACAGGCUUAACACAUGCAAGUCGAGGGUAGCAGGGUAGCAAUACCGCUGACGACCGGCGCACGGGUGAGUAACACGUAUCCAACCUUCCCACAACUCAGGGAUAGCCUUUCGAAAGAAAGAUUAAUACCUGAUAGUACUUAAGAAAGGCAUCUUUUUAAGUUAAAGAUUUAUCGGUUAUGGAUGGGGAUGCGUUCCAUUAGAUAGUUGGUGAGGUAACGGCUCACCAAGUCUUCGAUGGAUAGGGGUUCUGAGAGGAAGGUCCCCCACAUUGGUACUGAGACACGGACCAAACUCCUACGGGAGGCAGCAGUGAGGAAUAUUGGUCAAUGGGCGAGAGCCUGAACCAGCCAAGUAGCGUGAAGGAUGAAGGUCCUAUGGAUUGUAAACUUCUUUUAUAGUAGAAUAAAGUGAUCCACGUGUGGAUUUUUGUAUGUAUACUAUGAAUAAGGAUCGGCUAACUCCGUG
rnacentral:rRNA from 1 species